UACGUAGGGUGCAAGCGUUUGUCCGGAAUUAUUGGGCGUAAAGAGCUCGUAGGCGGUCUGUUGCGUCCGCUGUGAAAACUCGGGGCUUAACCCCGAGCCUGCAGUGGAUACGGGCAGACUAGAGGUAGGUAGGGGCAGAGGGAAUUUCCAGUGGAGCGGUGAAAUGCGUAGAUAUUGGAAAGACCACCAAUGGCGAAGGCACUCUACUGGGCCAUUACUGACACUGAGAGACGAAAGCUAGGGGAGCGAAUGGG
rnacentral:rRNA from 1 species